UUACCCACUCCCGGCACGGGGAGGUAGUGACGAAAAAUAACGAUACGGGACUCAUCCGAGGCCCCGUAAUCGGAAUGAGUACACUCUAAACCCUUUAACGAGGAUCAAUUGGAGGGCAAGUCUGGUGCCAGCAGCCGCGGUAAUUCCAGCUCCAAUAGCGUAUAUUAAAGUUGUUGCGGUUAAAAAGCUCGUAGUCGAAUUUGUGUCUCGUGCCGCCGGUUCAUCGUCCGCGGUGUUAACUGGCGAGUCGCGAGACGUCCUGCCGGUGGGCUUAGCUCGCAAGGGCGGCCCAACUCAAUCCUGCCGCGGUGCUCUUCAUUGAGUGUCGAGGUGGGCCGGCACGUUUACUUUGAACAAAUUAGAGUGCUUAAAGCAGGCUAAAACUUCGCCUGAAUACUGUGUGCAUGGAAUAAUGGAAUAGGACCUCGGUUCUAUUUUGUUGGUUUUCGGAACCCCGAGGUAAUGAUUAAUAGGAACGGAUGGGGGCAUUCGUAUUGCGACGUUAGAGGUGAAAUUCUUGGAUCGUCGCAAGACGGACAGAAGCGAAAGCAUUUGCCAAAAACGCUUUCAUUGAUCAAGAACGAAAGUUAGAGGUUCGAAGGCGAUCAGAUACCGCCCUAGUUCUAACCAUAAACGAUGCCAGCUAGCGAUCCGUCGACGUUCCUCCGAUGACUCGACGGGCAGCUUCCGGGAAACCAAAGCUUUUGGGUUCCGGGGGAAGUAUGGUUGCAAAGCUGAAACUUAAAGGAAUUGACGGAAGGGCACCACCAGGAGUGGAGCCUGCGGCUUAAUUUGACUCAACACGGGAAACCUCACCAGGCCCGGACACCGGAAGGAUUGACAGAUUGAGAGCUCUUUCUUGAUUCGGUGGGUGGUGGUGCAUGGCCGUUCUUAGUUGGUGGAGCGAUUUGUCUGGUUAAUUCCGAUAACGAACGAGACUCUAGCCUGCUAACUAGGCGUAUUUUGACAUCCUAAAGGCCCGCCGGCUUGGGG
rnacentral:rRNA from 1 species